rnacentral:rRNA from 1 species
AGUCAAGCGAGCGAAGGCAUGUGGAGGAUGCCUGGGCACACGGAGGCGAGGAAGGCCGCGGUAAGCUGCGAUAAGCCAGGGGGAGCGGCACACACGCACUGAUCCCUGGAUGGCCG